UGUGGGAGCGGGCUUGCUCGCGAAUGCGGUAUGUCAGCUAAAUAUAUGUUGACUGACACUCCCUCUUCGCGAGCAAGCCCGCUCCCACA
rnacentral:antisense_RNA from 2 species